UUCUGAUUUCCUAUUUUAUAAUGGAAUUUAUGUGGGCUGGAAAAAUAUAAAGCAUUUUAUAUUCUAGAAAUAAUUUAUUUUGGAAGUACAUUUUUAUAAUGGUCUGAUCUUGUUUUUAGAAAAUGAAAGCACAGUGAUGGGUCCAAUUUCCAUGAACAGAUGGGUGUAUUGUUUCAGUACAGUAUUUAGUCCUUGUGCAUUUCUAGUUGGUGCUUUUUGGGAAAUGGGUCAUGUGUACCACUUCACUACAUAAAGGAGAGCAUUUUUAAGUUUUAUCCACAGAAGACUUGUUAUGCCCCAACCCCCUAGCAUGAAAGAAGGCUCUUAAGAGUUGAGGGGAGAAGAAAACGCUGUAAUUUUAUUUUUUUCCUCCUUCUAUACCUCACUGCUUGGUAGCAUCUUUCCUGAAAGGCUAGACCUUGACCUUCCAGGAAAGAUGACCUUGAAUCAGGUCAGAGUGUUAAGUGUCAACAUGAAGAAUUCACACUUGGCAGCAUCAACUGUUUUUCAAGUAUUACCUAAAAGUCAGCUUAUGUACUUGUACAGAGCAAAAUUUUGUGAGUAGAAUAUGUAGCUAGGCUUCUUGAGAUUUUUAGAAUGACAGUACCUUUUAAGGAAUUAAGAGGGCUUCCUGAAAGUCAUAAAAAAAUGAGAAAGCAAAACAUGUCUUCCCUAUAUAAGAACCUUAGAAAAUAUUGUGUUAACAUGUAGCUUAAUGUCAUGAAACGAACAAAAUUGGAGAAGGUAGAGGCAGAGCUGUGUUGAGUAUUUGUCAAGUUUCUUACCUUAAUUUUGAAGGAUCUCUACUCAGUAAAUGUUAUUCAUAGUUCUUACUACAAAAAUCAUUAACUUAUUUUUUAAAGUAGAUUUUCUUACUUUGGGG
rnacentral:lncRNA from 1 species